CUACGGGGGGCACCGGUGAGGAAUAUUGCACAAUGGGGGGAACCCUGAUGCAGCAACGCCGCGUGGAGGAUGACGCAUUUCGGUGUGUAAACUCCUUUUAUAUGUCAAGAAAAUGACGGUAGCAUAUGAAUAAGCACCGGCUAACUCCGUGCCAGCAGCCGCGGUAAUACGGAGGGUGCAAGCGUUACUCGGAAUCACUGGGCGUAAAGGACGCGUAGGCGGGUUGGAAAGUCAGGUGUGAAAUCCUACAGCUUAACUGUAGAACUGCACUUGAAACUGCUAAUCUAGAGUAUGGGAGGGGGAGAUGGAAUUAGUGGUGUAGGGGUAAAAUCCGUAGAUAUCACUAGGAAUACCUAAAGCGAAGGCGAUCUCCUGGAACAUUACUGACGCUAAGGCGUGAAAGCGUGGGGAGCAAACAGGAUUAGAUACCCGCGUAGUC
rnacentral:rRNA from 1 species